GACGUAGGGCGCGAGCGUUGUCCGGAUUUAUUGGGCGUAAAGAGCUCGUAGGCGGCUUGUCGCGUCGAAUGUGAAAUCCCGAGGCUCAACUUCGGGCUUGCAUUCGAUACGGGCAGGCUAGAGUUCGGUAGGGGAGACUGGAAUUCCUGGUGUAGCGGUGAAAUGCGCAGAUAUCAGGAGGAACACCGGUGGCGAAGGCGGGUCUCUGGGCCGAUGACUGACGCUGAGGAGCGAAAGCGUGGGGAGCGAACAGG
rnacentral:rRNA from 1 species